UUGGUUUUUGAGCCCAACAAUUUGGCCUUUCUAUUUACAGCCUUUUAUUGUUUUUUCUUUAUUUACUUGGGCAGGUUGGUUAUGUGACCAUCAUAUGUGUCUCAUGGUUCCUAGUCAGAUGCAUUAUGAUGUGCUUUUCUGCAUUUGACAAAGCAGCUGAUCUUGAUGUUCUGAACCAUCCAGUUCUAAAUUUCAUUUAUUACCUGUUGGUGGAGGUAUUACCUUCAACUCUGGUCCUUUUCAUUUUGCG